UGCAAUCAAUGAUGAUUUUUUCCCAUAAUUAUUGAUUGAACAUGAUUAAUACAAAAAUAUCACCAUCUUUCGGCUGAGAUUGCA
rnacentral:snoRNA from 1 species